GUGUAAUUGAUGUGUGAUCGAGCGGUGGUGAUGAGAAUGGUUCUCCUCAUAUUGUGACGUUGCUUGAAUCAUGAAGGUGGUUUCAAUGGCGUUUUCUGAUGAAUGAGGCCUGCAUGCACCGGGAGAAAGCUACUGACUUUCUGCCUGUCCGUGUUCCAGUUGGGAUGGUUCUCCUGGACGGGUGUAAGCUCUGACCCAGGCGACGGGAUUUGUUGAUUCUGAGGAUUUUCCAUCACUCGAUAGUGUCAAUGGCCUUCAUCUCCACUCGAUUUGGUAUUGCAUGCACUGAAUAUUGCUUGAGACGUCCUCCUCCUUGAGUUCUGGUCUUGGUACCUGUUGGGUAGCUGCUAGUAAUUUUUCUUGGCUUUUAAUUUCAUGGUUCUUCUUUUGAUUGUGUCGGCCCUUGGGUUGCAGUAGAUGGAGUUGUUCUCUGCCGCCUUGAUCGCAGCUAGUUCCAGUGGACGGGACGACCAGAGAUGGGAGAGUGGCGGUUUUGAUUAAGAGCAGCCGGGUUGGGUUUUCGGAUUAUAUUUGGGCCGAGUUUUUAAGGUUCUUUUCUUCACGGGUUUCUUAUUUUUUAGACCCUAAAAAUCUAUUUCUACCCAAUUCAUUUUUCUUGGAUUUUGGGCUUUUGUAUGCUUUUGGGGUUUGUCCUCUAAUCUUGAAUGAAA